UACGUAGGGUGCAAGCGUUAAUCGGAAUUACUGGGCGUAAAGCGUGCGCAGGUGGUUUAUUAAGUCAGCUGUGAAAUCCCCGGGCUUAACCUGGGAAUGGCAGUUGAGACUGGUAGGCUAGAGUGUGUCAGAGGGGGGUCGAAUUCCACGUGUAGCAGUGAAAUGCGUAGAGAUGCGGAGGAACACCGAUGGCGAAGGCAGCCCCCUGGGAUAACACUGACGCUCAUGCACGAAAGCGUGGGGAGCAAACAGG
rnacentral:rRNA from 1 species